CAGUCGCCGCGGUAAUACGUAGGGUGCAAGCGUUGUCCGGAAUUAUUGGGCGUAAAGAGCUCGUAGGCGGUUUGUCGCGUCUGCUGUGAAAUCCCGAGGCUCAACCUCGGGCUUGCAGUGGGUACGGGCAGACUAGAGUGCGGUAGGGGAGAUUGGAAUUCCUGGUGUAGCGGUGGAAUGCGCAGAUAUCAGGAGGAACACCGAUGGCGAAGGCAGAUCUCUGGGCCGUAACUGACGCUGAGGAGCGAAAGCGUGGGGAGCGAACAGGAUUAGAUACCCCUGUAAUCCCUGUCUCUUAUAC
rnacentral:rRNA from 1 species